ensembl:lncRNA
CAGAACUCGGAACCCUGGAGUCACUGGGCACCACAGUCCAGCGACGGCUGCCUAACAGUCACUUGGCUGGAGAGAGUCAGCAGCGAUCAUGCUGUGCUGCUUUCCCAGGCCUCGAGGCUGCAGCAACAGGACCCCACGCAGGGAAAGCACUUGGGUGCAAGUGAGAGGUUGGAUGGCUGAGUCCCUGUGCUUUAGGCCACUCACCAGGAACUGGUUGGCCAUCAGGGGCAGCACAGGGCGGGUCUCACCAGACCCAGAGACCUGGGGACCUGAGAUGAGCGGGAGCCCAGGGCAGAUCUCCCUGGACCUGGACACCAGAGACUCGGGGCCACCGAGUCCAGGACAGGUCCAGUUAGGCCCGGCCACCACUAUUGUGGCCCAAUGGGAGGAGAGCCGAGCAGAGGACUGCAUGGUGAGGAUGGCACUGGCAGGCAUGCAGCACCCCUCAAGGGAGCCCCCAGAAUGGGACUUCCUGGACAGCCACCCCAUCCACAUGGACUCCCUCCUGUACCCCUCUGGAGCCUGCAUUCCCGCCCUGCAGGAGGGGAUGGUACUAAGGACCAGCUCCAGCCCCAGCUGAAGUCCCAUAUGUGGAGACUGAGCCAGCUCCACCUGCAGCUUUCUGCCCAGCGCUGGGACCACAGCCAGAGUCCGUGGCAGCCCCUUCACCUGCUGCAGUGCUGGGGCACCCGGUGGUUGCACGGUGGUCGGUGUCACCUCCUGAGCUCCGCCUGGGGCCAGCUCCUGGCCCCCUCCCACUGUUCCCCUCACGCUGGCUCAUGUUCUGGUAUUUACAAUUCCCC